rnacentral:rRNA from 1 species
GUCUUUUGACAACCAACAUAAAAGAUAAUGCCUGCCCAGUGAUACUUUUAAACGGCCGCGUUAGCGUGAGCGUGCUAAGGUAGCGUAAUAAUUAGCCCCUUAAUUGGGGGCCAGUGAAAGGCAACACCGGGAACACCUAUACUUCAUAUGCCAAAAAAACUUUCCCUCUAAGUGAAAAGCCUUAGAUAACAAAGGAAGACGAAAAGACCCCGCGGAACUUUAUCUCAUCUAAUACACUAACUAAUCAACACAAUUUUAGGUAAAAAAGAUUUGAUUGGGGCAAUCUCGGAACCGCCAAAGCUUCCGAUACUUUUAUUAAACUAAUCCAAAAUUAGCUCUGGACCAAAAAGAAGUUACCCCGGGGAUAACAGCGUUAUCCAACUUGAGAGUACUCAUCAAAAGUUGGGUUUGCGACCUCGAUGUUGGCUUAAGGUCAUCCCCAUUAGUGCAACCGCUAUGAAAGGACAGUCUGUUCGACUAUUAUAACCUUA